UACGGUGGGGGCAAGCGUUUUUCGGAAUUACUGGGCGUAAAGGGCUCGUAGGCGGCCAACUAAGUCGGACGUGAAAUCCCUCGGCUUAACCGGGGAACUGCAUCCGAUACUGGAAGGCUCGAGUUUGGGAGAGGGAUGCGGAAUUCCAGGUGUAGCGGUGAAAUGCGUAGAUAUCUGGAGGAACACCGGUGGCGAAGGCGGCAUCCUGGACCGACACUGACACUGAGGAGCGAAAGCCAGGGGAGCAAACGGG
rnacentral:rRNA from 1 species